rnacentral:rRNA from 1 species
UGGGGAAUUUUGGACAAUGGGCGAAAGCCUGAUCCAGCAAUGCCGCGUGUGUGAAGAAGGCCUUCGGGUUGUAAAGCACUUUUGUCCGGAAAGAAAUCCUUGGCUCUAAUACAGUCGGGGGAUGACGGUACCGGAAGAAUAAGCACCGGCUAACUACGUGCCAGCAGCCGCGGUAAUACGUAGGGUGCAAGCGUUAAUCGGAAUUACUGGGCGUAAAGCGUGCGCAGGCGGUUUGCUAAGACCGAUGUGAAAUCCCCGGGCUCAACCUGGGAACUGCAUUGGUGACUGGCAGGCUAGAGUAUGGCAGAGGGGGGUAGAAUUCCACGUGUAGCAGUGAAAUGCGUAGAGAUGUGGAGGAAUACCGAUGGCGAAGGCAGCCCCCUGGGCCAAUACUGACGCUCAUGCACGAAAAGCGUGGGGAGCAAACAGGAUUAGAUACCCUGGUAGUCCACGCCCUAAACGAUGUCAACUAGUUNUUGGGGGAUUCAUUUCCUUAGUAACGUAGCUAACGCGUGAAGUUGACCGCCUGGGGAGUACGGUCGCAAG